GCGGUCCACUACAACCAUUAUGUUGCUGCAGCCUUCGGACUUGGGUAGUGAUGUGAUGAAGUCCAUGGAAAUGCUUUCCCAUGGCCUCUCUGCAAUAGGCAAUGGCUCCAAAAGACCCGCUGGUGGGCGUUGUUCAACCUUGUCUUGGUGGCACACAAGACAAGUUUUUACGUAUAGCUCCACGUCGUCCCGCAUGUGGAGCCAAAAGUAUGCUCGUUCAAUCAGCGCCAUCGUCCUUUGGACUCCAGGAUGGCCUGCCCAUCUGGAGUCAUGACUUUCCCGGAUGAUCUCCUUCCUUAAGCCUCCCCAUUUUGGCACAUCAACCCUAUUUCCCUUGGUGAGGAGCAGCCCGUCCUCUAGCCAAAACUCGCGUGUCUUUCCUUGACGUGCCAAUUCCAACAAAUUUUUGGCUUGCGGGUCAUGUUCCAGCCCCUCUUUGAUGCGAUCCACUAUAGGGAAAUUUGGGCUUGUGAUGGAGGCAAGUUCGGCCUUUCUGCUCAGUACGUCGGCCACAACAUUUCCCUUGCCCGGCUUGUACUCCAUCACGAAAUCAAAUUCUGCUAAGAAAGCUUGCCACCGAAUUUGUUUUGGUGUAAGCUUCUUCUGCUUAAAAUUCUAGAGUCUUCUACUCCAUCACGAAAUCAAACUCUGCUAAGAAAGCUUGCCACCGAGUUUGUUUUGGUGUAAGCUUUUUCUGCUUAAGGAAGUAACUGGUGGCAACAUUAUCCGUCCUUACGAUGAACUUGCUGCCCAGGAGAUAAUGUCUCCACGUCCGUAAACAGUGCACUACGGCGGUCAUCUCUUUUUCUUCGACCGUGUAGCGUUUUUCUGUAUCAUUUAGCUUACGACUUUCGUAAGCCACAGGGUGCACUUCUUGCAUUAGGACGCCUCCCAGGGCAAAGUCAGAGGCGUCUGUCUGCACCUCGAAAGACUUGGUAUGGUCGGGCAAAACCAAUACCGGCUCCUUGAUCAUGGCGGCCUUUAACUCCUCAAAUGCUGUUUGGGCCUUAUUAGUCCACUCCCAGGUCCGGUUCUUCUUCAGUAGAUCUGUGAGUGGCGCGGUGAUGGAAGAGUAGCCUUUGAUGAACUUCCGAUAGUAGUUAGCCAAGCCAAGGACAGACCAAAGUUCUGGAACUUUCUUCGGCGGCUCCCAAUUCUGUAUUGCCUGAAUUUUGGACUCAUCCAUCCGUAGCUUUCCCUCACCAACAAUGUGUCCUAAGAAGGAGACUU
rnacentral:lncRNA from 1 species